rnacentral:lncRNA from 1 species
AUCAUCAUCACUAUCAUUAUUAUUUUAGCAGAUAGGAUCUAGUUAUUUAGCUCAGGUGAGUUUAAACUCAUGAUCCUCCCAGCUCAACUCACCAAAUACUGGGGUUACAGAUAUAUGCCAUCAUUCCUGGCUUAGAACGCCAUUGUUCAUUUGAUAGUUAAUUGUACGCAUUGUUUGCUUUGUGGGCAGAUUUGUCUUGGACACCAUGAUGGACCUAUAAGAAGAAGAUACAGCAGUGUCCUCAGAACCCUUCCUAAAAAGGCAAUCAAAAGCCCAACUCAGCUGGAAUGGAAAUGGAAAUGCAAAGGCAGCGUGUCCUCUAGACUGGAUGAUUCACCCGUUGGAAACUAUCUCGGGCUCCCAAGAUAAUUGUGGAAUGUCAGUUCACUGCAGAGUGCAAGUUCAGCACGGAAGGAUGCAGCUGCAAAGAGUGAGUGAGACACAUGCGCAGAGCCCUGGAUGGGAGCAUGUCAGCAGCUCAGGUCCCAUCACCAAGGGGCCUGGCUUAAUGUCACAUUUUCUUCAAUCUCCAUAGCCCAUAGACUUGAUUGGCUCUUGACAUUAUACUUCCUUCUGUUUUGAUAUUAAACCUACCACACUUGAUGUGGGUCAGGGCUUUUGUUCUUGACGUUGUAUUUUCCACAUUUCCAAACUCUCCUGAUCUAGAACACAAAGGCAGUUAAUAGUAACAAAUGCCAGACUAGCUAACAGAGAUGAGCCCAUUAGAUGUUACUCAGAGCCUCAUAUCUGAAGUAUCGGCCAUGUUAUUUAGUUUGAUCAUCGCUGAGAUCAAGUGCUUGACACAAACUUUCUGGGGGAGGAGAGGUUUAUUUUGCUUAGC